GACGAACGCUGGCGGCGUGCCUAACACAUGCAAGUCGAACGGAGAACUUAUGGAAUGCGACUUCGGUCAAAUGAAGUUUGUUCUUAGUGGCGGACGGGCGAGUAACGCGUGAGCAACCUGCCCUUCAGAGGGGAACAACAGUUGGAAACGACUGCUAAUACCGCAUAACGUGCUUUAGGGGCAUCCCUGAGGGUCCAAGGAUCUAUCGCUGAAGGAUGGUCUCGCGUCCGAUUAGAUAGUUGGUGGGGUAAUGGCCUACCAAUUGGACGAUCGGUAGCCUAACUGAGGGGUUGAGCGGCCGCAGUGGGACUGAGACACGGCCCAGACACCUACGGGAGGCAGCAGUGGUGGAUAUUGCACAAUGGAGGAAACUCUGAUGCAGCAACGCCGCGUGAGGGAAGACGGUCUUCGGAUUGUAAACCUAAGUUAUCAGGGACGAUUAUGACGGUACCUGAAGAGAAAGCUCCGGCUAACUACGUGCCAGCAGCCGCCGUAAGAC
rnacentral:rRNA from 1 species